rnacentral:rRNA from 1 species
AACGAACGCUGGCGGCAGGCUUAACACAUGCAAGUCGAACGCCCCGCAAGGGGAGUGGCAGACGGGUGAGUAACGCGUGGGAAUCUACCCAUCUCUACGGAAUAACUCAGGGAAACUUGUGCUAAUACCGUAUACGCCCUACGGGGGAAAGAUUUAUCGGAGAUGGAUGAGCCCGCGUUGGAUUAGCUAGUUGGUGGGGUAAAGGCCUACCAAGGCGACGAUCCAUAGCUGGUCUGAGAGGAUGAUCAGCCACAUUGGGACUGAGACACGGCCCAAACUCCUACGGGAGGCAGCAGUGGGGAAUAUUGGACAAUGGGCGCAAGCCUGAUCCAGCCAUGCCGCGUGAGUGAUGAAGGUCUUAGGAUUGUAAAGCUCUUUCACCGGUGAAGAUAAUGACGGUAACCGGAGAAGAAGCCCCGGCUAACUUCGUGCCAGCCGCCGCCGUAAUAC